rnacentral:rRNA from 1 species
UACAGAGGGGGCAAGCGUUAUUUCGGAAUUAUUGGGCGUAAAGGGCGCGUAGGCGGCUUGGCAAGUGGAUGGUGAAAUCCCUCGGCUUAACCGAGGAACUGCCAUCCAGACUGCUUUGCUUGAGGCCGGGAGAGGUGAGUGGAAUUCCCCAGUGUAGCGGUGAAAUGCGUAGAUAUUUGGGAGGAACACCAGUGGCGAAGGCGGCUCACUGGCCCGGUACUGACGCUGAGGUGCGAAAAGCGUGGGGGAGCAAACAGG